rnacentral:rRNA from 1 species
AGCGAACGCUGGCGGCAGGCCUAACACAUGCAAGUCGAACGAACUCUUCGGAGUUAGUGGCGGACGGGUGAGUAACACGUGGGGACGUGCCUUUUGGUUCGGAAUAACUCAGGGAAACUUGUGCUAAUACCGAAUGUGCCCUUCGGGGGAAAGAUUUAUCGCCAUUAGAGCGGCCCGCGUCUGAUUAGCUAGUUGGUGAGGUAACGGCUCACCAAGGCGACGAUCAGUAGCUGGUCUGAGAGGAUGACCAGCCACACUGGGACUGAGACACGGCCCAGACUCCUACGGGAGGCAGCAGUGGGGAAUCUUACGCAAUGGGCGAAAGCCUGACGCAGCCAUGCCGCGUGAAUGAUGAAGGUCUUAGGAUUGUAAAAUUCUUUCACCGGGGACGAUAAUGACGGUACCCGGAGAAGAAGCCCCGGCUAACUUCGUG